rnacentral:lncRNA from 1 species
UCCCAGGAGCUUGGUGCUUCUCUCCCGCGGGGCGCUUCGGCUGGCCGGAGCUGGGGAAGGGUCUGCAGCUCCGCUUUUCUCCCUCGCUGCUUCUCCUGUGCAUCACUGUCCAGCCAUUUCCUUUGGAGCUGUUCGUUGAAACCAUAGCAAAAGAUGCUUACGUGUAUGCCCAGCAAGGAAAAAGGAAAACACUGCAAAGAAAAGACCUGGAUAAUGCCAUUGAAGCUGUUGAUGAAUUUGCUUUUUUGGAAGGUGCUUUGGACUGAGCUGGACAGAGACAGAGCUCUCUGGAGAAAGAUACUGCAGAGGUGGUGUGAGAUGGAAAACAGGAUGCUGAGAGUUCAAAAAUAAUUCCUAGAACUGAGACACUGAAACUGAGACAUGGCAACCAUGAUAUUUUGUAUAAAGUUGAAGUUGUU